GACGAACGCUGGCGGCGUGCUUAACACAUGCAAGUCGAACGGAAAGGCCCUGCUUUUGUGGGGUGCUCGAGUGGCGAACGGGUGAGUAACACGUGAGUAACCUGCCCUUGACUUUGGGAUAACUUCAGGAAACUGGGGCUAAUACCGGAUAGGAGCUCCUGCUGCAUGGUGGGGGUUGGAAAGUUUCGGCGGUUGGGGAUGGACUCGCGGCUUAUCAGCUUGUUGGUGGGGGAGUGGCUUACCAAGGCUUUGACGGGUAGCCGGCCUGAGAGGGUGACCGGCCACAUUGGGACUGAGAUACGGCCCAGACUCCUACGGGAGGCAGCAGUGGGGAAUAUUGCACAAUGGGCGGAAGCCUGAUGCAGCAACACCGCGUGCGGGAUGACGACCUUCGGGUUGUAAACCGCUUUCGCCUGUGACGAAGCGUGAGUGACGGUAAUGGGUAAAGAAGCACCGGCUAACUACGUG
rnacentral:rRNA from 1 species